AAACUGAUAGCUUAAAGGCAAAGCAUAUUGCUCAUAACAAUAAAGAUGUAGGUUCAAUUCCUUCUCGGUUUA
rnacentral:tRNA from 1 species